rnacentral:misc_RNA from 1 species
AAAACCCAAAGAAAGCAAAAGACAAAAAGAAGAAGAAUAAGAAGAAGCGUGGAGGUACUAAGAAGAAGAUGACAGCUGAGCAGACUCUGGCUUUCAAGGCUGUCACUGAAUGGGUGUAUUUGGAUCAGNNNNNNNNUCUGCUUCUGCUCGUGUUGUUGAUGAUUUUGGGGUGCAGAAGACUAUGGGCAGAGGAGGAGAGAAGGUUGUUUUUGAAUUGCAUUCUCAUUCCAAAUGCAGUGAUG